rnacentral:rRNA from 1 species
AGACGUCUACAUUAGAUACCCGUUAGUCCCAGCCGUAAACUAUGCGCGUUAGGUGUAUCGGUGACCACGAGUUACCGAGGUGCCGAAGGGAAACCGUGAAACGUGCCGCCUGGGAAGUACGGUCGCAAGGCUGAAACUUAAAGGAAUUGGCGGGGAGCACCACAACGGGUGGAGCCUGCGGUUUAAUUGGACUCAACGCCGGGAAGCUCACCGGAUAAGACAGCGGAAUGAUUGCCGGGCUGAAGACUCUGCAUGACUAGCUG